rnacentral:rRNA from 1 species
CUUUCCUACGGGGCGCAGCAGUGAGGAAUAUUGGUCAAUGGGCGCGAGCCUGAACCAGCCAAGUCGCGUGAGGGAUGACGGUCCUACGGAUUGUAAACCUCUUUUGCCGGGGAGCAAGCCUGCGUUCGUGAACGCGCGUCGAGAGUACCCGGAGAAAAAGCAUCGGCUAACUCCGUGCCAGCAGCCGCGGUAAUACGGUGGAUGCGAGCGUUAUCCGGAUUUAUUGGGUUUAAAGGGUGCGUAGGCGGGAUGCCAAGUCAGCGGUAAAAAUGCGCGGCUCAACGCCGU